rnacentral:hammerhead_ribozyme from 1 species
AUCUAGCUGAUGAGUCCCAAAAGGGACGAAACAUUAGUCAAACUGGAU